GGCCAGACUCCUACGGGAGGCAGCAGUGGGGGAUAUUGCACAAUGGGGGGAACCCUGAUGCAGCGACGCCGCGUGGGUGAAGGAGCGUUUCGGCGCGUAAAGCCCUAUCGGCAGGGAAGAAGGAGGACGGUACCUGACUAAGAAGCCCCGGCUAACUACGUGCCAGCAGCCGCGGUAAUACGUAGGGGGCAAGCGUUAUCCGGAAUUACUGGGGGUAAAGGGAGCGCAGACGGCGAUGCAAGCCAGGAGUGAAAGCCCGGGGCCCAACCCCGGGACUGCUCUUGGAACUGCGUGGCUGGAGUGCAGGAGGGGCAGGCGGAAUUCCUGGUGUAGCGGUGAAAUGCGUAGAUAUCAGGAGGAACACCGGCGGCGAAGGCGGCCUGCUGGACCGUGACUGACGUUGAGGCUCGAGAGCGUGGGGAGCAAACAGGAUUAGAUACCCCCGUAAG
rnacentral:rRNA from 1 species